rnacentral:lncRNA from 1 species
UCGAUUCUCAUUUUGUCUACAUCCUUCUACCAUGUAAUUUACUAACAAGGUUGGUCCUCUGAUCUCUGUCUACUGCUUGUAAUAUAUGCUGAUCUAAAAUUAUAGGUAAAAUCUGGUUAGUUUGUGCAAGUAUGAUUCUGUUGCCCACUUGCUUAUGUGGUGGAUGGAGCAAAUCAAGACCUAAUAACUACAAGAACUAUCAAAACUGGUAUUCAUGGAAACUGUAGCUGACAGUGGUGUGUGCUUUGUAACAGAGAAUUGCUAUUAAUAGGAUGCCAUUUAAGACAUCAGCAACAGCAAGUUGCCGCCAACUACCAAGGCAGUUCAAAAACUAGAUCAUUAUGCUCCUAACUAUAUAGAAGGGAGACCAUGCCAAUAGAAAACACUAUAUAACUAAAGAUAAUCCUACCUCAAAAUAAGGUUAACUAGAAUUAGAAAAAUAUCAUAUAUCCAACAUAGUCUCAAGGAGGUGCUGCUCCAUCUUUGAUCUCAUACUUAGUAAGAAAGCUUGAUGUCAUGCUUAGGAAGGAAGACACUAGUAAGAGCUACCUUUGACUGGAGAGAGGCCUUCAACAAUUCCAGGCCCUGUUAAAAGGCACAAAGGAAAUUCGAUCAAGGUCUAUAUAUUGCAAUCAACAUGUUAUGAGUAAGGAAUAAAGAAGUAUUAGAUUAGUCUCUAUAUUCAGUUGUAAUUGUAGAAAGUAGUUGUGGCACCCAAAGUAGUAUAAAUAGGAACUUACUUGUAAAGAUAAAGAUAUCCAAGAUCAUUAGCAAUCAAAGAUAAACUCUUUCUCUCUACUUCUUAUCUUUCAUCUUUUCUAAUUCUCUCUAUUACUUCUCCCCUUUCUAUUUCUUUUCUCAGCCCAUUCUACUUCUCUCUCUUUCUCUCCCUAUUUCUCUGUUUCAAAAGGAAUUGCAAGUCUGUCAUGUAACAAGUGGUAUCAGAGCCAACGAUUUAGAGGCCUAAAUUCCAGGUUCUUUUCUUCUUCUUCUCCUCUCAGAUUUUCUUCUUCCUUCCUCCUUUUCCGAGAUUUCUCCCUUCUUUCCCUCCCUUCUUCUUCUAUUCUGCUUCUUCCCUCUAAUUCUUCUUUCUUCUUCCUAAAAUUUCUUUCUUUACCGUCCUUUCUUCUUUCUGUUCUUUCUUCUCUCUUCUUUCUUCUUGACAGAAUUUUUCUUCUUCUGUCCCUGAGAAGUUUUUCUCCUUCUUCCUCUAUUCUUUCCUUCUUUCUUUUCCAGAAUUUCUUUCCUCUCAUUUGCAGAAAUUUCUUCCAUUUCCUUCCUUCUGUUAUUGCUUUGUUUCUUCUUCUUCUUGGCAAAACCUUGUUUCUGCGCCUCUUUCUUUCCUUUGGAACCCCUUUCUUUCUUAAAUUCUUGAACCAAAUUCUUUCUUGUUCUAUUGUUUUCUGGUUUCUUAUCUUUUCCUUUCUUUAAUUCCUCACUUUUAGCAUUUCAAGAACUUGUUUAUUGGAAUUCUUGAAAUUUUCGUUCUUUCCUUUAUUCACAUUCUUUUUGUGUUCUCCCUUUCUUAAAAUUCUUGGAUCAUGGAAGUGCAAUAUUUGGCACAAAUAUUUCUUAAAGAAGUUCGAGAAAUUCUAGAUAGAAGAUGGUUGAAACAAGGAUUUGAAAAAGUGAUUCAGAAGUUAGAAAAUUUAUAUCAAAAAGUAGAAAAUUUAGAUCAGAAAAUGGAAAGGUUUGAGCAAUCAAUUCAAGUGACAGAAGAAAAGAUUGCAGUUUUGAUCAAUGAAAAUCAAAUUUUUGAAAAGCCUAGUGAAGAACAAGAUGUCUCUUGUGAAAUUUUGAAUAAGAAAGACAGGGCCAUUGAAGUGGAGCAGGAGCUUUUUGUUGAUAUGCCUAAUGUAAGUGAGAUUAACGAGGAAAAGAACGAUAAAGAUGCUGAUGACGGGCAACUGGAGUUUGAAAUGAGGACACUAUUAGUUGAAUCUGAAGUAUUUGCACAAAUCAUUUCCAAAAAUGAAUUUUUUAUUUUUGGACAUGUUCUUAAAAAAAAGAAAGAUAAAUGUGUUACAAAAAGUGUGGGUAUUGGAAACACGUGGCAGUAUUUUGGGAGCCAAGAUGGUGAGUUCGGCUGUUGUCAUCCUGGAAUUCUUAUGGAAGAUAAAUGGGAAAUAGCAAGAAGAGAAAGGAAGAAGGGUAUGACAUUAAAUUCUAUUGCGAUCUUGAAGGAACAUGCAUGGAAAAUUUGGAGAAAAAAAAGAGUUUAGCAUCUUCAGCCAAGCCUUAUGGGUCAUUUCAGCUGAAGUGCGUGCAGGAAGUGAACAUACAUUUGGGUUCUAAAUUCAGGGGAUUACUGACCAGCAAAAGCUGCUAUGGGGAUUUUCACAUCCUUUUGACCAAGCCUGAGGAAAGAAGCCACAGAAAUUCUUUCAAUUUUCAGCAUUUUUUUCAUUCUUGAGGACAAGAAUGAUUUCAAGGGGUGGGGAAUGUUAUGAGUAAGGAAUAAAGAAGUAUUAGAUUAGUCUCUAUAUUCAGUUGUAAUUGUAGAAAGUAGUUGUGGCACCCAAAGUAGUAUAAAUAGGAACUUGUAAAGAUAAAGAUAUCCAAGAUCAUUAGCAAUCAAAGAUAAACUCUUUCUCUCUACUUCUUAUCUUUCAUCUUUUCUAAUUCUCUCUAUUACUUCUCCCCUUUCUAUUUCUUUUCUCAGCCCAUUCUACUUCUCUCUCUUUCUCUCCCUAUUUCUCUGUUUCAAAAGGAAUUGCAAGUCUGUCAUGUAACACAAAGCUUCUGUUGUAGUUGUGGUGAAGCUUUUGACACAAUCUACCUAAUUGAGGUCACAAGACUCACAACUCAAUUAAUAGGAUUCUCUUGUACUUCUUCCACACUUCAUUUUUCUUUGUUGGUUAACCUUUCCUGUCAUGUCAUAGGAUUUAAAUAUUGCACACUAGCAAAUUAAUGUGGUUACCAUUCAUCAAAAACAUGUUUGCUUAUGUACAUCUAGUUCAUAAAGGUAGUCAUAUUACGAGGAUGUUUGGUUUAUCUUUUCAAUACAAUUGAUGGCUAAUAAAUAUCCAAACAACUGAUUUAUCUGCUAUGUAAACUCCUAAAAAGGUAGCUUAUAGUUGAUAAGUACUGUAUCAAUUACAUUUUUAUCAGCUCUACUUUUUAAGCUUUUUCUUAUUACUUGACAAUUCAUGAG